AGAUUUUUUAAUACUUUCUUAAUUUUUU
rnacentral:tRNA from 21 species